GAGACACACUACAACAGGAGAGGGAGCAAGCGCGAGAGGAUAUUAGAAGAGAGGCUUGUCUCCAAGAUAUGGAAGGAAGUGAGAAAUGACAGGGCUGCAAGCUUUGUAUGUAGGAGCCCGGCAGGGCGGGGGAGCGGCGAGGAGAGCCAAGUGGAUUCUCAGAAAAGGGGGGAAGCCAUCGAAGAGCUAAAGGUGAUUAGAGGGGGAUAUUGAUUUCUUAUUCUGCCAGAGAUUUAAGCAGGCAUGCGAGGAAUCUGCACCAUGGUUGGCAAAAAGAGACCCGUUGCCUCCUGUAACCAGACACUCAGGCUUUCCAGGAGCCCAGGGAGCAAGCCGAGAAGAAAGGGGGCAGUGUGGUCUAGGAAAAUUCAACUUGUCGCUGAUUUGUGCCUGAUGCCUGCUGUCCGUCAGCAGCCUCCCUUACAAUCUUUUUUUCUCUCUCUCCUUUUUUUUUCCUUGCCUUCUCCUUCUUCACUGAAGCCUAGGGGAGCCAGUAAAGAUUAAAUGUGCUUCUCAAAGGCAGCCACUUCAUGCUGCUAUGUCGAAAGGGCCAUUAUUAUUAUUAUAUUUUAAUGGUAAAAGAGAAAAGGAGAGAGGUUGAGCGAGCGAGAGAGAAGCUAGGUGUGAUGAUGACAGACUAGCUUUUCUGAGAGGAAAAGGAAAAGGGAAGGGAGAGAAAAAGGAGAGCCUCUGAGCUCAACGGAGGAUUGUGCCUGAGAAGAACCCACAGAGGAAAGCCCCACUUCCAGUCUGAUGAGGAAAGCGACAAUCUAUCAGGUACAGAACCAGGGGCUGUCUGCGAAGAUGGAGGGGAAUUAUGCUUCGGAUUCCUCUGAAAUAUUGGCCAAAGGCUUCAAAGAAUCCGCAGCGGGAGGUGCGGGGGGAAUGUCUCUCCCCAGCCCGCACCCAGCCCUUCCCACUUCGUGUCUACCAAAUGACAGCCUGGUGCUCGCUCUUGGUGAUUUGGCCUUGACUUCAGCCAAGCAGCUGAUGCAGACGAAGCCUCCGUUUGCAGGACUGGCAAAGUGCACGCUAAAGAAAGAAGGAAGAAAUUUUUCAAAAAGCAGCUCUGGGGAGGUUUCAUACUCCCCCCCCCCCCCCGCCUUUUUUUAAUUUUUAAGUGAAUAUUUUCCAAAUUUGAUCAGUUCCAGCCCCUCCCUCCACUCCCACCCAACUGCCCUUUUUUCUCUCGUCAAAGCAUAAGCUACAGAGUUACAGUCUCGAGAUUUGGUGUAUCGCUUCCUGCCCCCGCCUCCCCUCCCCGCCCCCGUUCUCCGUCCUCUAUUGAAACACCUCGCCCAGCCUAGCGCACUGAGAGCUCUCAUUUUCCCCCCUUGCUCGGGAUGGUGCCACAGGAGGCUGUGCGGGCCCCGCUCCGCUUCGAAUGGCUGGUCCUAUAGUACCCCUCCUCAGGAAUGUCUCCCCAGUGCAAGGACAAAGACUGAAGAGACUGCUAUAUUGAUGGACUCUCAAGCCAACUAUGAAGUUGAAACAAAGAAAGUGAUCACCUGAAGACACCUCCUCUGCUAAGAAACACCCCCAAAUUGUGCAGCUUCUGCCACUAGAACUCUCAGAACAAGAGACAAUCUUUUCAAGAAACAGAAAAACUCAAUAAUGACAUCUAGAUUUUCAUGAGCCAAGAACUUUCCCUUCCUCAUGUGUAUUCCUCUGUUUGUACUUAAAUUCAUGUGACAUUCAUUUUUUUCCUAGUAUGGAUAUGCUUAUUAAUGCACUUGUUUCAAAAUCCCAAAUUGCACAAAUGUGUUAAUAUUUUAAGAAACAAAAUGAAUCCUACAAGGAGAAUGAUUUUUAGCCACACAUAGGGUUGGAUCUUGAGAGUGACCUACAGAAUAAAAGUACUUUUAAAAUAAAGUAGUCAGAGGCUAUUCAAAGGGUAAAAUAAUCAUAGUACCACAUUGGUCCACUUGACACUAACCAAUCGAUCAUUUUUUUUUAAUCAAGAAAGCUAGAUUCUAUCAGAUAAAAUCACUGCUUCUAAAGAGUUUAAAUCUAGUUAGAAAAAGUUAUAGAAAUGUUUGCAAAGAUAAGUAACAGAUAGAGUCAGUAGAGGAUAAGAUCAAAAACAAAACCAAGCAAAAGAUGAGUUCAGGGGAGUUUGCCAUCAAGUUGGCAAAACUGACUUACUUAGGGAAGAAAGUUAUAAAACAGGAAAAUAUGAGAUGAACCUUGAGUGAUGUGGAAGAUUUAGAUAAAUGGAAAGGAAGGAGAAAAUGGAGUUCUUUAGGUGGUUGUAAUUGGAGGAGGAAAUGAAUACACACAUCUUGUUGACUUAAACCCAGACAUUCAGCAGCUCUCUAUACAUAUCUGGAAAAGACUGCACAGUCACCUCCUGUCUCUCACCCCAGGUAUUACUUAGAAUUAUUAUCAUAUUUCCCUUCCUUUAAAGUAAGUAAGGGUGAUUGGUGACAAUAUGGAGAACUAUGAUUUUUCCAUUAACCUAAUAAUAAUUGGUAUUUAUUGAGUUCUGUUAAGCAUUUUACAUAUUAACUCACUUAAGCCUUUCAACAGCCUUGCAAAAUAGGUAUUAUUAUCCCCAUUUUACAGGCAAGAAAACUGAGGUUUAAGUAACUUGCCGAAGUGCCAUAUACAGGGCUCACAUUCAGUAUUGCAGUUGCAAAGCUCAUGAUCUAUAGUGCCAAGUUGCAAUAUUGUAGUCAAUGUCACAAUUAUUACCCCUUUUUAUAUUCCUUGAUAUUUUUCCAUGGCAAACAAUUAGCUAUUUCAUUUAAUAAUCACCUAAAACUUUUCAGUCUUCUGAUUAAAAUUACGCUGGAGUGAUAGAAUGUAUUUUCAUGAUAGAAAUUGGGAAAAAAAAUGGGGAAUGAAGUUUAUCAGCAUUUCAGACUUGUUUUUUUUUUUUUUUUUUGCAAGACUUUGAUGAGAUUGUUCACUUUUGUCUAUGUAAAAUCCCAAAUCCUUGAGAAUAAAAAAGGGGGAGGUUUAAGUCACUUGUUGCAAUGCCCUUUUUAAUAGAGGCAAUAAAUCUAAAGGCCAUAAAUUUAGAGUGACUUACAGAAGAUCGAACUUUGGAGUGUGGCAGAGUAAGGGAUGGAAACCGGGCCCUCCAGUUCACUAUCAGUAGCUUUUGCACUGGUCUGCCCUUCCUAAAUUAAGUAUGCACUUCAAUUUGAUGAGUGGAAACAGUCUAUCUGGGCAGUAACCAGGGAGCUUUGUGCCUAGUAGAUUGCUUCUGUUCUGCACUUCUUUGGUUUCCCACCUCAAUGUAAAAAAUAGCUAGCAAUGAAGUCCAGAAGUUGUCAAUGGUUCAUCCCCAGAAGAAUGCAUAAUGUCCAAAGUUGUAUGUGUAUGAUGUCUUCAAUGGUAUUAAGUUAUUUCAAAUUCUUAGUUCACCUACAUAAAUCAUUUCUAACAAGCAUCUUCUUAACCAACUUUAUGCACAGUGUAUGUUUGUAAGUGCUUCUGCACGAAUGUUUAUACAUGACUGUUUCCAUAGUACUUAUGUUUUUAAAAAUAUUCAGUCAUUUCCUACUAUAAUCCUCAUGUAUCCAUGUAACUGACUCAAAAAUACUUCAGCCACAGAAAGCUAAAACUGAGCAAAUCUCAUUCUUCUUUUCCAUCCCCUUUGCAUGUGGCUGGCAUUUAGUAAUGAUUAAUAAUAUGGCCAGCUGAAUAACAGAGGUUUGAGACACAAUUCUUUCUCAAAGGAGUCAGCUAAGCUGGGUCUACUUAUGGACAAACAUCUAAAUGUGUGGAAGUAUCUGAUAUUUGACAAUGGUAAAUUUCCACUUAGCUAGCUAGCAUUGUCAGACUUCAAUCUCCUCAUGGCUCUGGCCGUCCUGUUUUAAGCAUGAUAAUUGUUGGCCACAUCUCACAUAGUUCUCAUUGAGUGAGUUCAUAAAUAAACAGGGUUUUUUUUUUUUUUUAAAGAGCAGCCAAGCACAAAGUGUGACUUUGUUGACAUUUUAUGUGACUUUGUCAUAUGUUCCUAACCCCCAAUAAAAGCAAUGUUGCAUCAACUGUGAA
rnacentral:lncRNA from 1 species